rnacentral:piRNA from 1 species
AUUGGAGGGCAUUGGUGCAAAUGAAG